rfam:Neosartorya udagawae DNA, contig:Aud0188, strain: IFM 46973.
GGGCUUGUGGUUUAGUGGUAUAAUACCCCCUUAGCAUGGGGGUGGUCCGGGGUUCGAUUCCCCGCGAGUCCA